rnacentral:rRNA from 1 species
AGUGAACGCUGGCGGUAGGCCUAACACAUGCGAGUCGAACGGCAGCACAGUAAGAGCUUGCUCUUACGGGUGGCGAGUGGCGGACGGGUGAGGAAUACAUCGGAAUCUACUUUUUCGUGGGGGAUAACGUAGGGAAACUUACGCUAAUACCGCAUACGACCUACGGGUGAAAGCAGGGGAUCUUCGGACCUUGCGCGAUUGAAUGAGCCGAUGUCGGAUUAGCUAGUUGGCGGGGUAAAGGCCCACCAAGGCGACGAUCCGUAGCUGGUCUGAGAGGAUGAUCAGCCACACUUGAACUGAGACACGGUCCAGACUCCUACGGGAGGCAGCAGUGGGGAAUAUUGGACAAUGGGCGCAAGCCUGAUCCAGCCAUACCGCGUGGGUGAAGAAGGCCUUCGGGUUGUAAAGCCCUUUUGUUGGGAAAGAAAAGCAGCAGGUUAAUACCCCGCUGUUCUGACGGUACCCAAAGAAUAAGCACCGGCUAACUUCGUG